GAUGAAGAACGUAGCGAAAUGCGAUAACUAAUGUGAAUUGCAGAAUUCCGUGAAUCAUCGAGUCUUUGAACGCACAUUGCGCCCCCUGGUAUUCCGGGGGGCAUGCCUGUCCGAGCGUCAUUUCACCACUCAAGCCUGGCUUGGUGUUGGGCGACGUCCCCUUUGGGGACGCGCCUCGAAACGCUCGGCGGCGUGGCACCGGCUUUAAGCGUAGCAGAAUCUUUCGCUUUGGAAGUCGGGGCCCCGUCUGCCGGAAGACCUACUCGCAAGGUUGACCUCGGAUCAGGCAGGGAUACCCGCUGAACUUAAGCAUAUCAAUAAGCGGAGGA
rnacentral:misc_RNA from 1 species